rnacentral:rRNA from 1 species
CCUUGACAUCCAGAGAACUUAGCAGAGAUGCUUUGGUGCCUUCGGGAACUCUGAGACAGGUGCUGCAUGGCUGUCGUCAGCUCGUGUUGUGAAAUGUUGGGUUAAGUCCGCAACGAGCGCAACCCUUAUCCUUUGUUGCCAGCGGUUCGGCCGGGAACUCAAAGGAGACUGCCGGUGAUAAACCGGAGGAAGGUGGGGAUGACGUCAAGUCAUCAUGGCCCUUACGGCCAGGGCUACACACGUGCUACAAUGGCGCAUACAAAGAGAAGCGACCUCGCGAGAGCAAGCGGAACCUCAUAAAGUGCGUCGUAGUCCGGAUUGGAGUCUGCAACUCGACUCCAUGAAGUCGGAAUCGCUAGUAAUCGUAGAUCAGAAUGCUACGGUGAAUACGUUCCCGGGCCUUGUACACACCGCCCGUCACACCAUGGGAGUGGGUUGCAAAAGAAGUAGGUAGCUUAACCUUCGGGAGGGCGCUUACCACUUUGUGAUUCAUGACUGGGGUGAAGUCGUAACAAGGUAAGCGUACGUGU